CGCGUAGGCGGCUUGGCAAGUCAGGUGUGAAAUCCCCGAGCUUAACUUGGGAAUUGCAUCUGAAACUGCCGAGCUUGAGUCCUGGAGGGGAUAGCGGAAUUCCCAGUGUAGCGGUGAAAUGCGUAGAUAUUGGGAGGAACACCUGCGGCGAAGGCGGCUAUCUGGACAGUGACUGACGCUGAGGCGCGAAAGCUAGGGGAGCGAACG
rnacentral:rRNA from 1 species